UUGACCACACCCCUAAUUACCCCUCCCAUUUCAUAAUUGCCCCCCCAAAAAUUAAAUCCUAGAUCCGCCCCUGGCCUAAUGUGAACUUCAAAUAGACCAAGUAGGCUAGCUUUAAGCUCUAAACCAUCAGUGAAUUGCAAGAAGUAAGUAAGAAGAAGAUUUGCAAGCAAAAAGCACCAAUGUUUAAAUUUUAGUAGUGAUCUAGUGAUCUGACGACUCAUGUCCUCCAAGAUGGUGGAUAGCAACGGUUGCUAUGUUUAUUUAUACAAAAUGGGUGUGUUUGCAAUGGGUCUAUAUGCGUUUUUUGCACUUUGCAGCCCUUAGCACAGCCUAGCCCCUUGUUCCCUUCUUAUUUCUUUUUCUCUGGUGCCCCAUUUGUGAGGAAGGAAGACCAGCAAUGGCUGAGGGGAUAGGAGGAGGUGACAAGACUCGAGCAACGCCAAUGGUACCUCUUACUGGAGGAACACCAAAAAUGAAUCUGCAACAAGCAGUACGUGAUGGUCGUGAAGAGGUGUUGAGACAAUGGCUGGGUCAGCUAACAGAAAA